GAAAGAGAUGGCCUCCAUGUUGUCUUGGUACUUACAGGCUUUAAUGUAAAAUAAAAGGACCAAUAUGAGAUAAAUAGUGACUAUUUAUCUGGAGUUGUGCACAAUGAGCCAAAAUUAUCCAGAUUAGCAAGAAAUGGCAGUUUAUUAGAAGGAAUUAAUGAACUUCCUACUAGUUGGAUUUCCUUCAACUUAGAGGUUAAGGAUUUGAUUACUAUUCAGUCCCAGGAGAUGCCAAUCAGCAGUGAGUCCAUCAUCAUCAUUCCAGAUGGAACGAAUGAGG